GGCGCGAAAACUUUACAAUGCUGGCAACAGCGAUAAGGGAACCUCGAGUGCCAGGUUACAAAUCUGGCUGUCGAGAUGCCUAAAAAGCAUUUCAUAGCAAGGGCCGGGCAAGACCGGUGCCAGCCGCCGCGGUAACACCGGCGGCUCGAGUGGUAACCGUUAUUAUUGGGUCUAAAGGGUCUGUAGCCGGCCGGAUAAGUCUCUUGAGAAAUCUGGCAGCUUAACUGUCAGGCUUUCAGGAGAUACUGUCUGGCUCGAGGCCGGGAGAGGUGAGAGGUACUUCAGGGGUAGGGGUGAAAUCUUGUAAUCCUUGAAGGACCACCAGUGGCGAAGGCGUCUCACCAGAACGGACCUGACGGCAAGGGACGAAAGCUAGGGGCACGAACCGGAUUAGAUACCCGGGUAGUCC
rnacentral:rRNA from 1 species